UUUCUGUAACACGCCUAUCGACCCUAUCGAAAUUUAACAUUUAUUGUAUAUCGAUUACAAAUCGAGGAGGAUUUUUACACUCGAAAGAGUAAUCUCUUAUGGGACCAAUUUCACAAUUAUAGAAUUUGUUUUAUUAAAAAAGCGUCUGUUAUUUCUUUUUUUUCGUAUUGUUGUAAAUUUCAAUCUUGACAAAGUGAGAAUACACGUAAGUACUACUUUGGCGGUGACCUACAUAGAUCGACAACGUGAUCGAUGGUCGAUUUACUAGUCGAUCGAUGGUACUAUUUUCAAACGAAUUCUCGAAGUAAGAGAAAGUUUAAACGAAUAGAAGAUAAACAAUUGUUGCGAAAAGGCAUGAUAUAAUGGCUAAUGGAUAUAAUAAGGUUAGCGAUAUAAUGGUGAUAAAGGUUAACUUGGUUUAAGGUCAAUAUCGAAAUACUUGGCGAUCAGUUGAAACAUUUCAGGCGGUACCAUUAUCUUAUUAUUGAAAACAUAGUGAGUAGUUGUUAAUGUAUUACAGCAUCAUCGAUGAACCAUCCAGUUUCUAUAUAAAAACAACGUGAAAUAGAUAGCAAAUGUAACGCAAAAAGAAGAGCACAAUGUCAUGAGAAAAGUCAACGUCCGAGACGCGGUCAGUGCUAUUGUACUCGACUGUACAGUACAUCAAGCAGAGCAUUUUUAAUGAAUCCACUGAAUUUCAAUUUUGAUGCUCAACAAUACUUACUUUCUCAUCUCGCGAAAGGAAUUCCCACAUUGGUAUCGCGGAAGCAGUGGCACAUAAUGCACACUCUUUUUACACGUACCGUUAGUUUAGAUACGUAGAUCUAUCGCACAGAUAUUAUUGAUGUAAAAUCAGUGGUCGUCGAGCCAAGAGUGUUUGUAUUACAAACACCAAACUGACGACGAGAGUAUAAUUACAAGGAUUGAAUAUCAAUUGAAUAUUUCAUUUAUUGAUAAAUGAAAUAUUAAUAACACGAUUAUCGCUAGAAACUUCACGUGGCCACAAAUGAACGAAUGUAAGAACGAUACAGCCCACUCUGUUCGUAAGCUGUUUGCGAACUGGCUUGAUUUCUUUGCGUCCCUGAUUAUAUGUUCUUAUGCGCGUGACGUCUGCGCAGUUCGAGUCCCCACCCCUUCUACUUUUCGAACAGAAUUCCCUUGGUCCAUCAGACUCGUAUUUAAAAAAAAAUAUAUGUUUUUAUAUUUCUUGUAUCCUAUUAAUCAUGUUACAAGACUUCGAUGCAUUGAAACAUGCACAGUUGGAAACAAGUAAUACAACCGUAGAGGAGAGGAAGCUGGUUCGAAAUCUGCCUUGAAAGAAUCCAAUCUUGUUCAUCCGGUUCUCUUGGCUACUUUGAGCUAACAAGUCCUUAGAAAAUCCUGUCCUUCAGAGAACCACGUCCUUCGCGAAAUAUUUGCCAAGACGUUUGAAAGAAGAAAAAUAAUUGUGAUCGUAGGAUGGAACAAUGCGUUGCGCAGCUGCAACUUUCGGUAUUAAUGGGUUAAUGAUAAUGGUAGAAAAACAAUAACGCAUUGCAAGCCGGAACAGAGGCGACGGCACUUUUCUAUGACGAUGACCAACGUGAGAAUUAAAAUGCCGCAGACUUUCGCACAUGAAUUCGCGCCAGCACAGGCAUAUACACAAUGGAAUGAGGAACCUUGUAUCAUUCGCUGUACGUCCACGAUGUAUACGUGUGUCUGUUACCACACCGUUCCAGGUAAUCUUGAUUACUUGGAGGCUCGCUGCACAUUUAACAGUCAGCAUGCAGUCAUCCUGCUAUUAUGUCAUUCGGAUCCUAUGUACAAGAAUAGAUCUAUCUCAACGGUUCUAGAACUAUGAACUUUUAAAACUGUAUUUAAAAGAAAAAUCAUUGCAGACUCACGAUGGUUUCACAUUACCGUGAUUUUCUUGAAAUAGAAUGACAGAAAAGUCGAACAUGGUGAUUCGACGGGCAAGUAUGUUCUACUUUCCAAAUCAAUUAAUCGUCCGUAACCUGGAAUGGCUGGAUGCUCACGGGCGUUAACCUUCUGCACCUCUGAUUUAUAAAUUUCCAUUAUACAUUUCACGGAUCAGCUGAGCAGAAAUUACACUAACCAGGCCAAGGGUAUUCCUGAUAAAUCUUGAUUGAUUUUUAAUCGAUGACAAACUACUGAUAGCAUUCAUCGAUCGUCAACGUUUUCAUUCAUUUUUUUUUUCUAGCAUUAUCAUACGAAUAACAAAAAUACUGCUGAUAUAUUGAUUUAUUUAUGGAAGAACGGUAAACGAUCCGGUGCGAGGAUUUUAGAAUUGCAUCCGAAUGGAAUGUAGGACGAUCAUGAUGAGGAAAUGGACUUGUUGUAUAGCGCAAAAGGGAAUGGAAAUCGCUUCCUCUUUUCAUCGCAACGAUUGGACGGUCAUCCGAGAUCGAGAGGCAACGAAUUCGGAAGCUGAUCGUAUAAGUAGUUCAAUGGUGACAUUUUUGCCGAAUAUUAUGGUUUCCUUGAAAUCCAUCUACGUAACUGCAUACUCAAGUGGAUCCUUAAUUUUUGAAAUACUUUAUAAUAAAGAUCAUCAAACAUGUUGGAACUAUUAUAAUGGCUUCGUCAUUGAUUCAAAACAAAUUGAAGGAUGUUGUAUUAUAUUUGAAUAUUUAAAACGCGACUGAUAAAUGAAACUAGAUGGAAUGUUUACCUCUCGAAUAAUUCAUAGAGAGGAGUUAUAAUAAUGCACGAUGCAACAAAAUGAAAUUUAUCAGAUGUCACAUAAACAGGAAAAAAUUUCAUAUAAAUGUAUUUUGAUUAUCAUCCAGAUUAUGCAUACGGUAUUAAAUGAGUUACGGUUUGUUAUUGGUAACGGACAGUGUCAGCGAACAGGAUAAUUAUGCGUAAAAUUUUUGGCGCCCGGAAUGACGUGAGAAUCGUGGCGCCGCUUAAGAAUGCAGAACCUAUCGGUCUACGGAACAUUGUUAAGGAUUGAUUAACGAGUAUACUGGAACGACUGAAAAAUUCCCGAGGAUCGGCAUGACGUUUUGAUGCAGUUACUCCACAAACCUCAUCACCUUCAGCUACACAUUCAUCAAACUGCUCUCCAAUAGCUGCAAGCACCACUUCUUUCCAAAUCUUUUCCUAAAAACAUAAGGAACUUAUGAUUUUGUUCCUCCCACAAUGGAUAUCUUUCAUCUCUCAUCAAAUGAUAAUUCCAUCUCACCUGUAACAGAAAUAAA